rnacentral:rRNA from 1 species
UACAGAGGUCUCAAGCGUUGUUCGGAUUCAUUGGGCGUAAAGGGUGCGUAGGCGGCGCGGUAAGUCGGGUGUGAAAUCUUGGAGCUUAACUCCGAAACUGCAUUCGAUACUGCCGUGCUUGAGGACUGGAGAGGAGACUGGAAUUUACGGUGUAGCGGUGAAAUGCGUAGAUAUCGUAAGGAAGACCAGUGGCGAAGGCGGGUCUCUGGACAGUUCCUGACACUGAGACACGAAGGCCAGGGGGAGCAAAACGGG